rnacentral:rRNA from 1 species
UACGUAGGGCGCAAGCGUUGUCCGGAAUUAUUGGGCGUAAAGAGCUCGUAGGCGGUUUGUCGCGUCUGCCGUGAAAGUCCGGGGCUCAACUCCGGAUCUGCGGUGGGUACGGGCAGACUAGAGUGAUGUAGGGGAGACUGGAAUUCCUGGUGUAGCGGUGAAAUGCGCAGAUAUCAGGAGGAACACCGAUGGCGAAGGCAGGUCUCUGGGCAUCAACUGACGCUGAGGAGCGAAAGCAUGGGGAGCGAACAGG